UGGGGAAUAUUGCACAAUGGGGGAAACCCUGAUGCAGCGACGCCGCGUGAAGGAAGAAGUAUCUCGGUAUGUAAACUUCUAUCAGCAGGGAAGAUAGUGACGGUACCUGACUAAGAAGCCCCGGCUAACUACCGUGCC
rnacentral:rRNA from 1 species